GCAGUCGAGCGAUGGAUUAAGAGCUUGCUCUUAUGAAGUUAGCGGCGGACGGGUGAGUAACACGUGGGUAACCUGCCCAUAAGACUGGGAUAACUCCGGGAAACCGGGGCUAAUACCGGAUAACAUUUUGAACYGCAUGGUUCGAAAUUGAAAGGCGGCUUCGGCUGUCACUUAUGGAUGGACCCGCGUCGCAUUAGCUAGUUGGUGAGGUAACGGCUCACCAAGGCAACGAUGCGUAGCCGACCUGAGAGGGUGAUCGGCCACACUGGGACUGAGACACGGCCCAGACUCCUACGGGAGGCAGCAGUAGGGAAUCUUCCGCAAUGGACGAAAGUCUGACGGAGCAACGCCGCGUGAGUGAUGAAGGCUUUCGGGUCGUAAAACUCUGUUGUUAGGGAAGAACAAGUGCUAGUUGAAUAAGCUGGCACCUUGACGGUACCUAACCAGAAAGCCACGGCUAACUACGUGCCAGCAGCCGCGGUAAUACGUAGGUGGCAAGCGUUAUCCGGAAUUAUUGGGCGUAAAGCGCGCGCAGGUGGUUUCUUAAGU
rnacentral:rRNA from 1 species